rnacentral:rRNA from 1 species
CGCGUAGGCGGGGAUACAAGUCAGGUGUGAAGUCUAUGGGCUUAACCCAUAAACUGCACUUGAAACUGUAUCUCUUGAGUGUCGGAGAGGUAGACGGAAUUCCUAGUGUAGCGGUGAAAUGCGUAGAUAUUAGGAGGAACACCAGUGGCGAAGGCGGUCUACUGGACGAUAACUGACGCUGAGGCGCGAAAGCGUGGGGAGCAAGCA